AGGGAGACGGGAGAGGCUAAAUAUAACCACAUUAAAAACCAUCAGCAAUGUUGGAAACAGCUUCAAGCUUAACAUCAACAAAAUCGGGGGCUUUUAUCACCAUGGCCAAACACACACCUGGUCCAGAAAUCAGAGAACCUUAAGGGGAUCUAUGGAAGGUGGAGCAUUUGGAGGCUCCACUGCUUCUUCACACCAGUGAAGUGAGGUGGCAGAUGACAUUGAAAAAAUACAAGCAAUUGUGGAUCACCUGAAUGGCUGCCUUAAAACUGAGAACUGACAAUUGAUUUCAGUGCCUGCAUGUGUGUUGUGUUUUUAUUGUACAAAUGGGCAUUACUAUAAUUAUCAAGAGCUGACACAGAAAAGAAGGCAGAGAGACUUUGUAGCCCAAAAUGAGGCAAUCAGGACACAUGAAGUUCAAUGAAGUCACUAUCUUUUGUUAUAUUAACCUAGGUUUUACCCUAGUUCAGGUAAGGAAAACCAUCAUGUGGCCCAAGUGGUUUAAGUUGCUAAAUUCAAAAGAACCUGUAUUCAGUAGCCAGUCCCAUGUUAAGAGUGGAAAUUUGUUUCCAUACAAAUGAUG